rnacentral:misc_RNA from 1 species
GAAAUGCGAUAAGUAAUGUGAAUUGCAGAAUUCAGUGAAUCAUCGAGUCUUUGAACGCACCUUGCGCUCCUUGGUAUUCCGAGGAGCAUGCCUGUUUGAGUGUCAUGGAAUUCUCAACUCUAUUUGCUUUUGUGAAUAGAGCUUGGAUUUGGAGGUUUAUUGCUGGUACUUGUGAUCGGCUCCUCUUGAAUGCAUUAGCUCGAACCUUUGCGGAUCAGCUAUCGGUGUGAUAAUUGUCUACGCCGUUGCAGUGAAGCAUAUCAAUGGGCUCGGCUUCCAAUCGUCCUUUACUGGACAAUGACUUUGACCUUUGACCUCAAAUCAGGUAGGAUUACCCGCUGAACUUAAGC